rnacentral:lncRNA from 1 species
AUUUUCUAAGAAGGGGUUAAACAUUGAGAAAGGGAAAAACCCUAAAAAUAUUUUCUCUCAUAUUAUCGAAAGGGUCAACCGCCUCAAAGGUAGAUUUCACCACUGUCCCAGAAUUCGGGAAGCUCCUAAGAACAAACUCAACUAUCAUCUUCAACUCUCAGCUCUUUACUGCCAGUGAACCAAACCACAAAAACGUCCAUCUCCCUCCGAGCUCCGGCGAACAUUCAGCUCU